UCUCUAAUCGCAAUGUCCUUUCUAAGUACCCAACAUUUCCUUCCAAACGCAGGCACACAGUUGAAAGUCAGAUAGUUCAUAGUUGCACUUGCAGCUAUUAGCAAUGUCAAAGAUCUCAAUUUUCUUGCUAAUCAUCAUAAUUACUUUUCUAUUGAUGAUUUUAACCACUAUUAAUUUCUGGGUUCUUCCUCUUUUUUCUUCCUCUAAUUCUCCCUUGGAUCAUCACUACAAUGUCGGAGAUCAAGUCCCUCUUUUUGCCAAUAAAGUUGGUCCCUUGAAUAAUCCCAGUGAGACGUACGAAUACUUUGUCUUGCCAUUCUGCCGCCCAGAUCAGUUGAUCAGAAGGAAGGAACCGCUGGGGGAAGUUCUAAAUGGUAAUCGUCUGAUAAACACUCGCUAUGAUAUGAAGUUUCAGGUUACGAAAGUGGCAGAGAUAUUGUGCACAAAGACAUUGGCGAGGGAGGAAGUUGUGAAAUUCCGUGAUGCAAUUAAUAGAGAUUUUUACUUUCAUAUGUACUAUGAUGACCUCCAGUUUUGGGGGUUCAUUGGGAAAGUUGAAGAAGAGAACUUGAAUUCCCAUAUGAGAGGACCCAGGUUUUAUCUUUUCACUCAUGUUCAGUUUGAGGUCUUAUAUAAUAGCAAUCAUAUUAUCGAAGUGCAUGCUUUCAGUGACCCCAAUCACAUUGUCGACAUAACAGAAGAUGCUGAAACUGAUGUGAAGUUUACUUACUCUGUAAAUUGGAAUGCAACCUCCGUCCAAUUUGCAAACAGAAUGAGAAGAUAUUCACGUGCUGCUUUACUAUCACCAGUUCAGCAGCUUCACUGGUUUUCAAUCAUUAAUUCAAUAGUCAUCAUAUUGCUUUCAAUGGGAUUACUUGCCAUGCUAUAUUGGUGGAAUAUCAAGAGUGAUUUGAGAAAGUACUCUAACGGAGAUGAAGAUGAUAGAGAGAUUGGAUGGGCGUUCAUGGGUGGUGAUGUUUUCAGAUGCCCUACAUUGCUGUCUCUCUUUUGUGCUGUGUUGGGAUGUGGGACCCAACUUUUUCUUGUGGUUUGCUGCUUGUUUGUAUUGAUCAUUCUUGGUCUUUUAGACCCUUAUACACAUGGGACCUUGUGGACAGUUGCUGUUGCGAUUUACACUGUAAUGUCGGCAGUUGCUGGAUAUUCUGCUGCUUCGUUUCACUGCCAAUUUUCUGAAACUGGAUGGGAAAGAAGUGUCCUCCUGACUGGGGUUCUUUUUAUGGGUCCACUGUUACUUGUGCUAUCCUUCCUUAAUACUGUGUCUGUAUCAUAUGGGUCUACAGCUGCCCUAUCUUUUGGCAUGAUUUUUUUGAUGUUUCUCGUACAUACAUUUGUUGCUGCUCCAUUCCUUGCAUUAGGAGGAAUUGUUGGACGCCAUUAUAGCUGUACAAACUUUGUACCAUCGACCAUGAGACACAUGAGAGAGAUUCCUUCAUUAACUUGGUACAGGAAAAUUCAGAUUCAAAUGAUUCUUGCUGGCCUCUUACCUUUCAGUGCAGUUCUUGUGGAGUUGCAUCUGUUCUAUGCAAGCAUCUGGAGCUACAAACUAUUUACACUCCCUAGCAUUCUGUUCAUUAGCUUCUCAAUCCUUGUCUCACUUACUGCUAUUUUGAGUGUCGGUUUGACUUAUAUUCAGCUCUCCGUAGAAGACCCUGAAUGGUGGUGGAGAUCAGUACUACGUGGUGGAUCAACGGCUAUUUUUAUGUUUGUCUAUAGUAUAUACUUUUAUGCCAGGUCACAUAUGAGUGGUCUUAUGCAGCUAUGCUACUUUCUGGGAUACAAUGCUUGCAUUUGUUAUGCAUGCUUCCUAAUGCUCGGUGCAAUUGCUUUCCGUGCUUCUUCAAUGUUGAUCUACCAGAUGUCUCACAGUGUUAAGAGCGAGUGAAUUCUUCAUCCAUAUAGUUUUCAUGGAUAUAUAUCAUAGAGGAAAAGCCAGAGGCUACACAGAAUGGAGAAAGCAUGACAAGAUUCUGGCAAGACAAGAUUCAAGGCCGUAAUGAUGACAGUUCCAGGAUACAAUCAACAUGCUCUAUGAUAGAAGGCCCUGGAAAUUUUGAUCCAUUUUGGCCAUUUUGCAUUUGCGCAUGAGGAAACAAUCUUUAGGAAUAUCUACCUAGUACAUGCCUAAGAUUCAUCUCUUACAUUGUUACUUGUUUAACUCGUAAACUAAAUCUACACCAUAUUUGGUGUUCUUUUAUUCCCAAAUGAGAAAAGUUAUAGGUAAUAAUGAAUAAUCCACAUACCCAAUUCUUCAUAUCUAAAGAACCAGGAAGUAGCUAAUUUCGAAUGUGGGGUUCAUUGGUCGGAUCAACGUAAUAUGGAGCUGGAAUAUAGUCUAAUGACUUAUACGGUGGAGGUGCUCCGUGGUUGGGAGAUUGCUGUGUUGGAGAUGGAGGAGAUGAAGGGGGAACAUGAGGCUCAUUAGCCGGAGCUGUAGCUGGAGCACUGGCUGAAGAUUCAUUUCUUGGGUUCCGGUAAAUAGGUGGGGCAUAUACUGGCAUUGGAGUAGGCAUCGGCUUCUUGUAUAUUGGUGAUGAAGUGUAUACUGGUUUCCUAUAUAUGGGCAUUGGUGUGUGAUAUGGUCUUUUGUACAUUGGAAACGGGUGGUUGUACAUGGGCAUCUUGUGCACUGGUGAUGGUGAAGACAUAGGCUUCUUAUGUUUGGGUGUUGGAUAGGAUUCUGGAGUAUGGUAGACCGGUGUAGGAUUCACCCUGUGUUCAGGAAUUAUUUUAUCUGUGGGCUUGUUGUAAUCUGUUGUAGGAUUGUCCAUACGGAGGCCGGAGGGAUUUUGUUGUGGUCGAUCUUCCGGAAUGGUGUACUCUGGUUUCGGAAUAUCACCGUAAUUGACUUCACUGGCUGAAGAAACGGCCACGACUAAAUAAAGGAUCAAAGACAAGAAACAAGAGUGAUAGGGAGCCAUUAAUUUUGGUCUUUUUUAGGUGACUUAUUUGUGAACAAAGCUAUGCAAUUUGAUGAUACUAAGUAGGUGACAUUGUAGCCUUUUUAUAUAUGACUGCCUUAGGACUGAUUCCCAUACUUUUAGUUGAUAACUAUGUAUAUAAAAUAUUUAUGUGGAACAUAUUUAGGUCUUUAGGAUGUUAACAACACAGUUUACAUGAUACUAAGGAGUUUUAGGCGCAUGCAGUAACAAAGGUUGUGGUUUUACUCCUGCAAUGAAGCAGACAUAUUAGGAACUCAACAGAGGUUUUCUCUGAAGUUGUUGUGACAGGAGACAUUUUUUUUGU